UUGAUAUCUGUAUUAACCUGCAGAACAUUUAAACAUUAAGAUGCUCUCUAAUCUAGUCCAUACCGGAAUAGAUUCCUAAGACUUUCUAGUUCCCCCUCCAUUUCUGAAUUAUAUUCCAUUACUAUAUCAUUAAAAACCCUUCCUUAAAUAUUCCACGCAAGAUUAUAGAAAGCUUUUAUUUUUGUUUUGUUUUGUUGUUUUUUGUGGUGCUAGGGAUUGAACCAAGGCCUUUGUGCAUUCAGUGCUCCACCACUGAGUCAGAUCCCCAGCCCUAAGAAGUACGUUAGUAUCUACUUCAUUCACAUACUGUACCCCAAAACAGUCACCUAAUCAAUAUGGGCACAUAGAUGUGGCUCAGAAUAAGAGUCAUACCUAUUCUCAGUACAAAAAAAGUAAGCAAAAGUACUGAAUGGGGGAAACUGUCUUCUAAGGAAUACAGAAAAGAACGUCCUCCACUCAUUUAAGGCACCACAUAUUAAUCGGAUCUCUCAAGCUUCUUAGGGUGUUCAGUGUUUUAAUCUGCCAGCUCUCUGCAACUGAACUAAAGCCUUUCCAUUCCGAGAUGUAGGUACCUUCUACAUGCACUCCAUGCUCUCUUUUCUUCAACCCUCACCUCCCCCUCUCCUUCCAAAAUUGUGUCAGAGAUGUAAUUCCCAAUCUCCAUCAAACUCUUUCACAGGGCCACUCCCGAAAGCACUCUCCUGGAAUGUUUUAGGCCUGAUUCUAUUCUUGUAAUAGCCCAAACCUUCCAAGAGCCCAUCCUUUUUGCCCCUUCUUAAGUUUACUCCUAAACACACACACACACACACACACACACACACACACACACACACACACACUUCCUUCCUUCCUGUAGGGGCGUGGCAUCCACAUAACCUCCCCUCCCCCACCAGGAAUUUAACUCCUCCCACCCUUCUCUUCAGAAUCCCGUGUUCAGUGUUCACGGGGCAAGGGGGUGACACUGCAACCCUCUCUAUAGUCCGAACCCUAUUGAUCCGCCGCAAGGACGACCCUCUCCCUAGCGCGUAGAGUCGUUACCUGGAUCCCGCCCACCCUGUGUCGGCCGGAAACCACGGCCCGCCCGGGGUCGAAGUCCGGGCCCUGGGCCUGGUCCCCACCGCGGGCCCAGGCCCCACCCCCUCGACCCCCGGCGGCCCGGCCCUCCCCUUGCGCUCCUUUCCCCCUCCCACCAUUCACCACAGCCACUUCCGCCCGUCCUCCGGAAGUGGGCCCAAGGCAACCGCUGCCUUCCCACGUCCCGCCUAUUCUAUCCCACCCCACCCCCGCCCAUCACCACCGCCACUACGGGAGCGCGGGACGUGGGUCUGCAGUGCUGGAGGUUGUUCUACUGUCACUGUUCACAGGAUUGAAGUCGAGGUUUGGGCAGAGCCAGAUCUGGCUGGGAUGUUUGGGCAUCUCAUGCCCAGAUCCUGGAAAUUGA
rnacentral:lncRNA from 1 species